rnacentral:rRNA from 1 species
GACGAACGCUGGCGGCGUGCCUAACACAUGCAAGUCGAGCGAAUGAAGUUCUUUCGGGAAUGGAUUUAGCGGCGGACGGGUGAGUAACACGUGGGCAACCUGCCUCAUAGAGGGGAAUAGCCUUCCGAAAGGGAGAUUAAUACCGCAUAAGAUUGUAGUACCGCAUGAUACAGCAAUUAAAGGAGCAAUCCGCUAUGAGAUGGGCCCGCGGCGCAUUAGCUAGUUGGUGAGGUAACGGCUCACCAAGGCGACGAUGCGUAGCCGACCUGAGAGGGUGAUCGGCCACAUUGGGACUGAGACACGGCCCAGACUCCUACGGGAGGCAGCAGUGGGGAAUAUUGCACAAUGGGGGAAACCCUGAUGCAGCAACGCCGCGUGAGUGAUGACGGCCUUCGGGUUGUAAAGCUCUGUCUUCAGGGACGAUAAUGACGGUACCUGAGGAGGAAGCCACGGCUAACUACGUGCCAGCAGCCGCCGCCG